rnacentral:rRNA from 1 species
AUACGGAGGGCGCAAGCGUUGCCCGGAAUCACUGGGUGUAAAGGGUGCGUAGGCGGGGCUGUAAGUCAGAGGUGAAAGCCCUCGGCUCAACCGGGGAAUUGCCUCUGAUACUGCAGCCCUUGAGUCCCGGAGAGGCCGCUGGAAUUCCUGGUGUAGCGGUGAAAUGCGUAGAUAUCAGGAGGAACACCGGAGGCGAAGGCGGGCGGCUGGACGGGGACUGACGCUGAGGCACGAAAGCGUGGGGAGCAAACAGGAGUAGAAACCCUAGUAGUCC